rnacentral:misc_RNA from 1 species
UCUUUCUUUCAAAAGCAGUUUACUCUGUAUUACUCUAAUUCUUCCCUAACACAAAACAAAUUAGCAACAAACAGAAUAAGGGGUUGCGUUCGUUCCAGGACUUAACCAAACAUCUUAAAACACGAACUGACGACAGCCAUGCAGUACCUGUACCAAAAAAAGAGCUUCCUUUGCGUCUAACUCCCUAUCACGGAUUUUCAUCCGUAUUCUUUGGUAUACAAUCAUUGGUAAGAUUACGCGCGUUAUUUCGAAUUAAACCACAUGCUCCACCGCUUGUGCGAGCUUCCGUCAAUUCCUUUGAGUUUCAACCUUGCGGCCGUACUCCUCAGGCGGAGUAUUCACGCGUUAGCUAUGACUUACUAUAGUAAAUCUUAUACUCAUCGGUCACAGCGUAGACUAC